rnacentral:lncRNA from 1 species
UCCUGAACCUCGACGGGAACAGACUCCGAUUGAGAAGGAGCAUCCUGAACGUCGACGGUAACAGUCUCCAGUUGAGGAGAAGAAUUUUGCUGUGCGUUCUUGUCAGAAGACAUUAUCUGCACAAAGAACAUAGCAGUCAGGCCAAGUUAAGGCAAAAGUCGAUCCCAAGAAAAGUCGACCUGGACUUAAGGGGAUCGAAAUUGCAAAAUAAGGGAAGUCGAUCUCAGAAGUCGAUCCCAGAAAAGUCGGCUGUCAGGAGACAAAGGUCUCGAAAAGUCGAUCACAGGGA